rnacentral:rRNA from 1 species
AACGAACGCUGGCGGCAUGCCUAACACAUGCAAGUCGAACGAUGCUUUCGGGCAUAGUGGCGCACGGGUUCGUAACGCGUGGGAAUAUGCCCUUGGGAUCGGCCUAAAAGUGAGAAAUUGCUGCUAAUACCGGAUGAUGUCUUCGGACCAAAGAUUUAUCGCCCAGGGAUGAGCCCGCGUAGGAUUAGCUAGUUGGUGGGGUAAUGGCCUACCAAGGCGACGAUCCUUAGCUGGUCUGAGAGGAGGAUCAGCCACACUGGGACUGAGACACGGCCCAGACUCCUACGGGAGGGAGGAGUGGGGAAUAUUGGGCGAUGGGGGCAAGCCUGAUCCAGCAAUGCGGGGGGAGUGAUGAAGGCCUUAGGGUUGUAAAGCUCUUUUACCCGGGAUGAUAAUGACAGUACCGGGAGAAUAAGCUCCGGCUAACUCCGUG